rnacentral:rRNA from 1 species
CCUACGGGAGGCAGCAGUGGGGAAUCUUGCGCAAUGGGCGAAAGCCUGACGCAGCGACGCCGCGUGAGCGAUGAAGGCCUUCGGGUUGUAAAGCUCUGUCAUCAGGGACGAAGUCUCUGGAUAAGAGGUGACGGUACCUGAGGAGGAAGCCCCGGCUAACUACGUGCCAGCAGCCGCGGUAAU